rnacentral:lncRNA from 1 species
GUUAUUGUUAGGCCCAGUACUAAACUGCAGUGCCCCAUACUGCAAAACCAAAAUGAAAUCCAAAUAAGAAUAAAUACCUCUGUAUUGACUGAGUUCAUAGAAAGCUGAUAGCGAUCAACUUUUUGAAGGAUCAUAGACAACAAGAGACAGCCGGUGGGGUGACACUCUGCUGGUCUCCACAUAAUUAUCAUUGGUCCUUUGAUUAUAGCCUGGUAUCAAAUAAACUAAAACAACACGACUCAAGAACGAAGACGUGUUAAUUUGAUUUACCCUGGAGUGCAAAGCCGCAGCAGGAGUUUAGGCUUUAGCUGCUCUCCCAGGGAGGGAGGAGGAGAAGUCAUGAUUUAAACGUUAGACGGCCUCAGACUCUGGGGAACGAAGACAGCGUUACCUUCCCGAGAUGCGCAAGGGACGGAGGGUGCUGCAGCAGGGGAGGCAACACCGAGGGGAGCAGAUGAGGAAGUGUCAUAGUGCUGUGCAUCCA